rnacentral:rRNA from 1 species
GCAGUCGAGCGAACAGACGAGGAGCUUGCUCCUCUGACGUUAGCGGCGGACGGGUGAGUAACACGUGGAUAACCUACCUAUAAGACUGGGAUAACUUCGGGAAACCGGAGCUAAUACCGGAUAAUAUAUUGAACCGCAUGGUUCAAUAGUGAAAGACGGUUUUGCUGUCACUUAUAGAUGGAUCCGCGCCGCAUUAGCUAGUUGGUAAGGUAACGGCUUACCAAGGCAACGAUGCGUAGCCGACCUGAGAGGGUGAUCGGCCACACUGGAACUGAGACACGGUCCAGACUCCUACGGGAGGCAGCAGUAGGGAAUCUUCCGCAAUGGGCGAAAGCCUGACGGAGCAACGCCGCGUGAGUGAUGAAGGUCUUCGGAUCGUAAAACUCUGUUAUUAGGGAAGAACAAAUGUGUAAGUAACUAUGCACGUCUUGACGGUACCUAAUCAGAAAGCCACGGCUAACUACGUGCCAGCAGCCGCGGUAAUACGUAGGUGGCAAGCGUUAUCCGGAAUUAUUGGGCGUAAAGCGCGCGUAGGCGGUUUUUUAAGUCUGAUGUGAAAGCCCACGGCUCAACCGUGGAGGGUCAUUGGAAACUGGAAAACUUGAGUGCAGAAGAGGAAAGUGGAAUUCCAUGUGUAGCGGUGAAAUGCGCAGAGAUAUGGAGGAACACCAGUGGCGAAGGCGACUUUCUGGUCUGUAACUGACGCUGAUGUGCGAAAGCGUGGGGAUCAAACAGGAUUAGAUACCCUGGUAGUCCACGCCGUAAACGAUGAGUGCUAAGUGUUAGGGGGUUUCCGCCCCUUAGUGCUGCAGCUAACGCAUUAAGCACUCCGCCUGGGGAGUACGACCGCAAGGUUGAAACUCAAAGGAAUUGACGGGGACCCGCACAAGCGGUGGAGCAUGUGGUUUAAUUCGAAGCAACGCGAAGAACCUUACCAAAUCUUGACAUCCUCUGACCCCUCUAGAGAUAGAGUUUUCCCCUUCGGGGGACAGAGUGACAGGUGGUGCAUGGUUGUCGUCAGCUCGUGUCGUGAGAUGUUGGGUUAAGUCCCGCAACGAGCGCAACCCUUAAGCUUAGUUGCCAUCAUUAAGUUGGGCACUCUAAGUUGACUGCCGGUGACAAACCGGAGGAAGGUGGGGAUGACGUCAAAUCAUCAUGCCCCUUAUGAUUUGGGCUACACACGUGCUACAAUGGACAAUACAAAGGGCAGCGAAACCGCGAGGUCAAGCAAAUCCCAUAAAGUUGUUCUCAGUUCGGAUUGUAGUCUGCAACUCGACUAUAUGAAGCUGGAAUCGCU